UACGUAGGGUGCAAGCGUUAUCCGGAUUCACUGGGUUUAAAGGGUGCGUAGGAGGGCAGGGAAGUCCGUGGUGAAAUCUCCGAGCUUAACUCGGAAACUGCCGUGGAUACUCUCUGUCUUGAAUCCCGUGGAGAUGAGCGGAAUAUGUCAUGUAGCGGUGAAAUGCUUAGAUAUGACAUAGAACACCAAUUGCGAAGGCAGCUCGUUACACGAAGAUUGACUCUGAGGCACGAAAGCGUGGGGAUCAAACAGG
rnacentral:rRNA from 1 species